GGAGAGGGCGCAAGGGGGCGGUCUCAGGCAACGGAGAUCGAGCGUCUCGGCGCUCCGGGUCUUGUCUUCUGGCGGAGGGGGUUGUCCGUUAACUUUUGUUGAAUGAUUGCUGUCAUGUACCGGGGAUUAGAGUUUGCUUUCGUCCUGAGUUCUAUCUAAGAACUCCCUGCCAAAUCCAGUGCCCUGGAUCGUUCCUUUGGUUGUGGAAAGUAUUUUGUUCCGGGCUGAGAAUGGAGAUCAUCCCGGAAGGCGAGGCACUGGAGAUGCUCAUCGUCCAGAGUGCUGAGUGCUGCAGUCAUGGAGGAAAAGAAGUUGUUUUUCAGGGUAUUUUCCCCCCUUGCACAGGAACUGGUUCACAAUAAAAUCGUGGAGAAAACAUUGUUACAGUCUACCCUUACAAUCCUCCCCAAUAUCCAGGCUGCACUUAGGAUCCAAAAGAAGACUUGUGAGCCUUGCAUGUUGGGGUCCCUCACACCAGGCACAGAUCUCUGACCCUGGGGCCAUUCCCUUCCUCUCCCCACUCUCCUGACUUUCCUAAAGUUACCGCUCCAGACCUAAUGGCAAAUAACUUACCUGUUUCCUAUAUGUGUUACUUGCCCUGUCAAAAUGAAUGGGAAUGCUUUAGCAAUCCAUACGUAUGAGGAAAAUUGUACAGCAACAGAUUCGGUUACAGAAGAAACGACGGAACAAAGAGAAUA